UCACUGAAGCCGGCAAAGGCUUUCAGAGGGAGGCUAGAGGUUGGCCAAGGGCAUGGAAGGAUGGGUCCUUAGGGACCACAUACUCCAGUACUUAGUAUCCUAAUUACAUCUGUUACUCUGACUCCUAAAACUGAGUGGUUUCCAUUAGGCUCUCAGAUAAAAGAAGGAAAAUGUAAAGAAGGGUCUUGGUCAGGACUCUGGCUGGACCAUGACUACCUCUUCAACCUUAGACGUGCUCCAUAACCAUUCUGGUCCCUCUUUCUUCUUUAUGGAUGAAGUGUGACAACUUUGGAACUUUGUUUCAGUCUGGAAACACAGUUUUGUGAUUAUUCCUCUGAAAUCUGAUUGCAGUGUUGUCUUGGAGCUCCACACUGGAGAAGCUGCCUGUGCCUCUGAUGGCCAUAUCCCCAGAAGGAGAUCCCCUUCUGUGCUGCUAACUUAGCCCUUCCUCUCCAGCGGAUCUUGAACACAAAGGCUGAGCGGCACCUGUCUUCAGGAAGUUUCUUUUCAAGAAGGUGCAGUAUAAGUGUACGGUGACUGCUCUACCUGGUGACACUGGGAAGCAGUACUGUCUAUCGGAAGUCCUGCUCACUGUACCUGCUUUAGACGUCUCUCCUGGACCCUCUGCCUUCAGUUGGCAGCUGCAGGAAGAAACAAGGAGCAUGCUCGAUUUAGAAGUCAAGCUUGCAACUGGCGUUCAUCAUUUCUGCCACAUUUCCCUGUCUAAGAUAUGAGUACCUCUGACCAAAGGGGACCUUGGGAAAUGUAGCCAAGCUGUGUACACAGGAGGUAAAGAAGAAACUAUUUGGUAAACAACGAGUCAGUCCUUGGAAGACAUAGCUUGAGCUUCUGUUUCCGUGUGGCAAGGAGCCUGUAUUUUGUCAUCUGAGCGGGUAAGAUAGGAAGCAGGAGAGGAUGAUGACCUUCAAAAAUGGGGAGCAGAUAGACAAGUGUGUGUUUCUCAGAUCAACAUAUAAUUAACCAGUCUAAACCGGUCUACAGAACAAAUGCCAGGCCAGCCUGGGCUGCAUAGUGAGACCUUGUCUCAUUUUUUUUUUCUUUAAAUUGAUCUAGCAUUAACAUUAAAAUUACUGGCUCUAUUAGAACCAUUAGAGCUCUCUGUGGUUGGAAUGCAUUUAUUUGAACUAGAGAACGUGUGUUGGAAUGAUGGAGGGACUGAAUUCAUGCUGUGAUGGAAAUAAACUCUCCAAUACAUUCAACUCUUAAA